GACGAACGCUGGCGGCGUGCUUAACACAUGCAAGUCGAACGAUGAAGCUGGAGCUUGCUCCAGUGGAUUAGUGGCGAACGGGUGAGUAACACGUGAGCAAUCUGCCCUUGACUCUGGGAUAACUGCGGGAAACUGUAGCUAAUACCGGAUACGACACCUUGGGGCAUCCCGGGGUGUGGAAAGAAUUUCGGUCAAGGAUGAGCUCGCGGCCUAUCAGCUUGUUGGUGAGGUAAAGGCUCACCAAGGCGACGACGGGUAGCCGGCCUGAGAGGGUGACCGGCCACACUGGAACUGAGACACGGUCCAGACUCCUACGGGAGGCAGCAGUGGGGAAUAUUGCACAAUGGGCGAAAGCCUGAUGCAGCAACGCCGCGUGAGGGAUGACGGCCUUCGGGUUGUAAACCUCUUUUAGCAGGGAAGAAGCGAAAGUGACGGUACCUGCAGAAAAAGCACCGGCUAACUACGUGCCAGCCGCCGCGGUAA
rnacentral:rRNA from 1 species